GACCUCCAGCCUUCCAUCUGGUGAGAUUCACUCUGAGCCAGGAGCUCCUGCUGACUUGACUGCAAAAGAAAGAAGUAUCACCAAUGGAGAUUAAUCCUCCCAUCAGCCUUGAGAGAAAGGGCUGCAGAUCCCGUGUGGAUUUGCUCAGCAUGCAACUGACUUUAUUAAACAACCCACCGGACAAAGGGAAACAAGAGCUUCGUGUAGGCGUCAUCUUUGCCAGUUCCUGGCUUUACCCGUGUUCUUGGUAUCACCUUACUGGAGGUCGAAGUGUAAAGGACUUCCUGAGCACUCACUCUGAGGAAAGCUGGCUUCCAUGUUUUGAGUAGCUCUAUGGAGAAGCCCAUGUGGAAGGAAUGGAUAUCUCUGGCCAGCACCCAGCAAGAACCUGAGGUCCUUGAUCCAGCCACCCUAGAGGAACUGAAUUCUGCCACCAACAGCACAUGAGUGAGCUUGGAAGUGGAUCCACCCCUGCCCCACCUCCCAUCCUGUUGAACCUGAGAUGACUGCAGCUCCGGCCCAGAGCUUGACUGAAGCCUUGUGAGAAACCCUGAGUCAGAGGCCCCAGCUAAUGGAGCCUAGAUUCCUAACCCACAGAAACUCUGAGAUAAUAAAUGUUGCUUGAGCUGCUAACUUUGGGGGUGAUACGGAUUGUGUCCCCCAAGUUUUAUGUAUUAGUAGCUUGAGCCCCAAAGUGACUGUUAAGAGGGCGGGAAAUCCU